UACGGGGGGGGCAAGCGUUGUUCGGAAUUACUGGGCGUAAAGGGCGCGUAGGCGGCUUUUCAAGUCGGGCGUGAAAUCUCCAGGCUUAACCUGGAAGGGUCGUUCGAUACUGUUAAGCUAGAGUGUGGAAGAGGCUACUGGAAUUCCGUGUGUAGCGGUGAAAUGCGUAGAUAUACGGAGGAACACCUGCGGCGAAGGCGGGUUGCUGGGCCGGACACUGACGCUGAUGCGCGAAAGCCAGGGGAGCGAACGGG
rnacentral:rRNA from 1 species